UUUCUUGGUUGGAUUCAUCUAAAGCCAGACUUUCCAGUGCCUCAAGAUUAUCAGAUUCUUGCCCUGUUAGCCUCUCAAUCAUGCUGGUCAAAUAAUGCACAUGUUCAGCCAGUGACAUGAGUUCCUCAUUUUCCUCCUUUAGGCGGGCAAUUUCACCAUCUUUUUGUUCAAUCUCUUUGUGCAACUUUUCAUUUUCUUGAAGCACUUCAUACAGAGCCUUCCUCCUUUCUUCAGCCACUUCUUUCCAAUAUUGAGAUGAAGGACUUUUUUUUAUGAGAUCUAUAGCUUGAAUGACAUCAUCUGUAUUCUCAUUUUCUUGCUCUUUGUCCACAGAUGCCUCAGCUUUACAAGCUGAGGAGGUAAGCCUGUUAUUCCAGAGUUUCCUCUUGACUGAAGACUUCUUCUCAUUACACCUUCCAACCAGGAAACCUUUUGCAGAAGGCUGAAUCAUCUUAAGAGUCCGUCUUGGGGCAGCACUGCAUGCAGUGUCUGUGAGGUACUUCUGCAGAGAUCCAGAUGGGUUCUCCACAUUCAGGCUUUGUUUCAUUUUGGAAUUCAUCAGAUCAAGCAACACUGAGAACUCGGCCAGAAGUCACGCGGUUAGGAACCCCUUCAGCUCAGCGCUCCACCCGUGUUUUAGCCCUGCACCAGCAAGAUACCAGAGGCUAUCACGAGCUCAGCAGCUGUGGAGCCUUCCCACGGCCUUCCCGUAGCAGCCCGGCCAGCAGCAGCCGAGCCACCCCUGAGACAGACC
rnacentral:lncRNA from 1 species